rnacentral:tRNA from 1 species
GGCGCCGUGGCCGAAUUGGUGAAGGCGACAGUCUUAAGAACUGUUAGUGCAAACUAUGCGGGUUCGAGCCCCGCCGACGCCA